rnacentral:rRNA from 1 species
AUUGAACGCUGGCGGCAUGCCUUACACAUGCAAGUCGAACGGUAACAGGUCUUCGGAUGCUGACGAGUGGCGAACGGGUGAGUAAUACAUCGGAACGUGCCCAGUAGUGGGGGAUAACUACUCGAAAGAGUGGCUAAUACCGCAUGAGAUCUAAGGAUGAAAGCGGGGGAUCGCAAGACCUCGCGCGAAUGGAGCGGCCGAUGGCAGAUUAGGUAGUUGGUAGGGUAAAGGCCUACCAAGCCGACGAUCUGUAGCUGGUCUGAGAGGAUGAUCAGCCACACUGGGACUGAGACACGGCCCAGACUCCUACGGGAGGCAGCAGUGGGGAAUUUUGGACAAUGGACGCAAGUCUGAUCCAGCCAUUCCGCGUGCAGGAUGAAGGCCCUCGGGUUGUAAACUGCUUUUGUACAGAACGAAAAGGCUCUGGUUAAUACCUGGGGCUCAUGACGGUACUGUAAGAAUAAGCACCGGCUAACUACGUGCCAGCAGCCGCAGUAAAAC